GGCCACUGCUAUCGGAGUUCGAUUAAGCCAUGCGAGUCGAGAGGCAACUCGGCAUACUGCUCAGUAACACGUGGACAAUCUAACCUACGGAAGAGGAUAACCCCGGGAAACUGGGGAUAAUACUCUAUAGACUAUGGAUGCUGGAAUGCUUUGUAGUCGAAAGGUGAGCCGCCGUAGGAUGGGUCUGCGGCCGAUUAGGUUGUUGUUGGGGUAACGGCCCAACAAGCCUGUAAUCGGUACGGGUUGUGGGAGCAAGAGCCCGGAGAUGGAUUCUGAGACACGAAUCCAGGCCCUACGGGGCGCAGCAGGCGCGAAAACUUUACAAUGCGGGAAACCGUGAUAAGGGAACUCCGAGUGCCCGUAAAUCGGGCUGUCCAUUUGUUUAAAAAACAAGUGAAGAAAGGGCCGGGCAAGACCGGUGCCAGCCGCCGCGGUAAUACCGGCGGCUCGAGUGGUGGCCACUAUUACUGGGCUUAAAGCGUUCGUAGCUGGUUUGUUAAGUCUCUGGGGAAAUCUUCCGGCUUAACCGGAAGGCGUCUCAGGGAUACUGGCAGACUAGGGACCGGGAGAGGUGAGGGGUACUUCAGGGGUAGGAGUGAAAUCCUGUAAUCCUUGAGGGACCACCUGUGGCGAAGGCGCCUCACCAGAACGGCUCCGACAGUGAGGGACGAAAGCUGGGGGAGCAAACCGGAUUAGAUACCCGGGUAGUCCCAGCUGUAAACGAUGCGCGUUAGGUGUAUCGGUGACCACGAGUCACCGAGGUGCCGAAGAGAAAUCGUGAAACGUGCCGCCUGGGAAGUACGGUCGCAAGGCUGAAACUUAA
rnacentral:rRNA from 1 species